GAACUGCAUGUGUUUUUCCUAUAAGAAAUAAUGGAAAACCACGUAAUAGGUUUUGAAGCUCAAAAAUUACACUGAUCAAUUCAUGUUUCAAGGACUUUGAGCAAAUUUCACAAUGAUUUCUUUCUUUAACUCUAUUGUGGGUCUCACAGUUUUCCUCUUAGCUUUACUGCUGCUGUCACUAACUUUCUUUGGAGCUGUGGUUGUGAUAUUUUACACAAAGCACAAAAAGGCGCAUAAUGACGAAACACACUAACACAUGCGCUGUGGGUUGUCCGGGUGAGAGCGGCACUCAGACUGAAGUCGCCCCUUCGUGUCCUCGGCCAGACAUGACCCCUGACUUACUCUCAAUCCCUACAGGUCUUUCAGGUGGGAGUUUCCGUUCCACUGUCCAGGAAAGUGAAGAACGCCAAGCAGAUUGUUUUUCCAACUUUGCUGUUCGGGUGUGGAAAGUUUGAACUUGGAGCCAUUCAACAACUGAGAGUUCGCCAAAACAUAUACACACACUUCAAGAAAAGAAAAAUUGUGUGGGGGACCCUAGAGGAUGUCGUGUAUCACAGAAGACUCAGUACACUGCUGGCCCUUAGAGAAGAAAUUGAAAAUGCAUGUGCAGCAAUCUCAGUGACCAAGGUUAUGCAAGCAGCAGUUCCCUGUACUAAUAAAUGCCUGGAAGCCCAUGGCCACCACUUUGAGCAACUCUCCUAUUUGCAGAGGCCAAAGGAACUAUGAAGAAGAAAAGCACAUUCUUAUUGACCCACCAAUUUUUCCUGACCAUGAGAUUCAUUUAUAUUACCUGUGGAACAAAGAGAAAAACAUGAAGAGGAACAAAAGAAACAUAUGAACAAGUGGAAAGCAUGUAAAUUAUGUUAGGGCUGGUCCUGUCUCUCUUCUGACCUCCUGAUUCUGAACCCUGCUAAAUGUUAAUUUGUUAGAAAUCACAAGAAUAAUCUAAUAUAUUCACCUUAACCAUGUGACAGCACUACUGUUUUGCAAGGAUUUUCUAGAAGGAAUCUAAACCCUAAAUAUUGGUUACAGUUGUAAGGACUGAGAGGCUUCUGUAUGUUUUCCUUUAGGGUUUGAUUUAGGGUUAUAUACAAUAUCUUACUACAUUUUUCUCAGAAUACCAUACAGGUUUCUCUUUCCAAACCUUUGGUUGUUGCUGUUUUUUGAAGUUGCAGGGGAUAGGGGUAGCAAGUGCAGUACCGCUGAGUCACACCCCUAGCCCACUUUUCACCGCUUGUGGCUAUAUCAGUUUAGCCAUGUAAAACACUAAAACUUCGUCUCUUUCUCUCUCUCUCUCUCUCUCUCUCUCUCUCUCUCUCUCUCUCUCUCUCUCGCACGCGCGCGCGCACGCGCUUUUAUCUUAUCAGUUUAUCCUUUAGCAAGUCUCUUGAUCUAGGCUGGGUUCAGGUACUAUGAAACUCACCUGAAUGUGUUACUGAAUUUUUCAUUUCAACAAAUUUUAUUUCAUUCCUUUUACAUCUUAAAAAAUGUGUUGAGACUUUCUAUAUUUUUUUUCAAAAGUGUCUGUGGUAUGUGUUUAAGAUUGUGGAAGUAUUUUUAUGACAGUACCUUAUAAUCCUUCUAGAUCUCUUUAGCAUCUUUGUAUUUUUGGUGCCUGUUGAUUUUUGAGAUGUCCCUGAUUUUUACUAUAACAUUUUUAUUACAAUCGGGAUAUUUUGAGUAUUAUGAAGCUCUGGUUCCUAUUUUAAUAUUAUUAUUUUUACAGUCAUGUUUGAAUUUUACUUUGGGAGUUCACUCUAUUCAUACAAACUUUUCACUUCUUCAACAACCCAGAGGCAAAACUACCUACUGUUGCCAUAGGUAGAUGUUUAAUAAUGUCCAUAUCCACACAGGUACAUAUAGAUUCCAUAUAUGUAUCUAUUUUUUAGAGUUUCUAUUGGUAGACGUUUGCAGUAGGAAAUUGCAUUCAUCACGGGGUUGGUACAUGGACAUAACACAUCUUAAUUCUUUUUCUGUCCCUUCCUCUCCCCUCCCUCACCAUCCCUCCAUCUCUUGACUUCCUUUCAAUAGAUAUCUCAUGGCUGAAAAGUAGGUCUGCCUUUUUAUAGUUAGGGAAGGGUGUUACUGGUAGGAGAUUUUUCUACAUGAUAUUUGGGCGGAGUAGUGUUGCCAACAGCUGUCUUGUAAGGUUUCUCUCACUUGAUACCCUGACCAGAGAAUGAAUGGAAACUUAUCCUGAAAUAUUUUUUGUAUUUUAUUAGUACAUGUUUGUAGUACAUGAAGUUUACAAUGACCCUAGGGAGUAGGCGCACGGACAUAAUAAUUUCAGUUAUGUUUUUAUUCCCCUUCCACUCUCCACCCACCCUCCUCCCUCUGCUUUUAUGUCCCCUUUGCCCAUUUUCAUCAUUCUUGUUAUUACUGUUUUGUGUUUCUGACAUAUAAUACUUACCCUCCUUGUAGGUAUUUGGUACAUGUACACAACACAUUUUAAAUCUUUUUACUUCCCCUUCCCCAUCCACUCUCCCCUCACCCUGGUUUCUUAAACCCCUUCCCACUUGCAAGAGAUCUCCCUGUUUCCUUCUAUCAGUGCUUUAUUUUGCUCAUUAUUUACACAUUGCCUUAAUCAAGUCAGAAAUGCCAUAUGGUAUUUAAGCUUGUAUGACUGACUGACUCCACUUAAAAUUAUAUUCUCCAGGUAUACCCAUUUUCAUACAAAUGUCUCCCAUGCAUCUUUUUCUAUACCUGAGUAGUAUUCCAUUAUGUAUAGACAGUAUAUUGUCUUUAUCAAGUGCAGUGUGCUGCAGGGAAAAGUGUGUACACUGUUGUACGGUAGAACACUGCAAAUACCUAUGAAGUCCAUAUGAUCAAGGAUAUAGUUCAUCUCUGCUAGUUCUGUAUUUUUUGUUUAGCUGAUCUCAAAGCAAAAAUAAGGUAUCAUGGUCACCCACCAUGAUUGUGUUAGUGUUUAAUCUUUUCCAUCUAGCUGUGUUUGUUUUAUAAAGAUAGGCACUCCAGUAUAUGGGGCAUAUAUAUUUAUAAAUGUUAUCACUUCUUGUGAGAUCAUUCCCUUAACUAGUAUGCAGUUAUGCUCUUUGUUUCUUCUGACCAGGUUUAGCUUGAGGUUUACUUUGAGAGUAAUACUGUUACUGCUGCUGGUUACUGGGGUUCUGGUGCAUGAAAUAUUAUUUUCUAUCCUUUGAUUUUUUAAGUUAUGCAUAUCUUUUUGGAUUAGAUGCAUUUCUUGAAUGCAAAACACUGACAGAUUCUGUUUAUUGAUCCAGUCUUUUAAUCUCUGUCUUUUCACUUGGGGAGUUGAUGCUGAGGGUUGAGGUCAAGUAGGAUGAGGAGAUCAAAUACUCUAGCAAGAGACUGUACAUGCGGUUCACAUGUGUCCACUUUGCCAAAAAACCCCCGAGUCUUCACACAGUUCCCUUUUGCCUCAGUUGCAGUCUCACUUCAGACAGCCACAGCAGGAUCCCUUGUUCAACAACCCAAACCAACCCAGUUGCAGGAAUUCGCCUGCAGGCUCAGGCAGAUUCUGAUGCUGUCCCUGGGGUUAGUUUAGGAACUAGUCCCCAAGGCAGGGUGGCAGAAUCUGUGGGCAAGUGCAUUUGCAGGCCGGGUGUGUGUGUGUGUGUGUGUGUGUGUGUGUGUGUGUGUGCACGGAGUCAGGCGUGGACAGGCACUCUGGCUGGGUCCUGGGGAUUGCAUGAUGGCAUUCAUGCACCAGAGGGGUCUUCAGGAGAGACCCUGCUGGUGUGGAACCCUAGGACCCGGCGGCGACUCCCUCUCUGGCCCUUGGUGAGUACUGGUGAGGUUGCUACAGGGCCACAGCAUUGCCCAGUGAUUGGAGGAGAGGAAAGAGGGCAAAGGGCUGGCCAGACUCUGACCCAGGUGUGGUCUCCACAGGGGUCCACUUCUGCAGUGCUCAUUCCUUUGUGCUUCCCUCCCUCAGGCUAUUUGGAAAGCUCUCAUAAAGGCUGCUCCAGGGAGGAGGGGUAGGGACUGGAGCUGUGCAGACCAACCAUGGCAGUUCCUCUGUCCUUCUCCUGUGAUCCAGUUUUUAGUUUUUAUCCACAAGUAUCAUUUCCCAUUAAUUUUGUGGUUCAGGAUGUAAGACCCUCCCCUACUAGACAGUCUUCUCUGAGCACCUGUGACAUGAUUCCUCCUCUAGUCAGCCAUAUUGGAGGCUUUUAUUCUUCAUCUGCAUCGGUUGGUAUUUACAGGUUGCCACCUUCUAUACUUAGGUGUUAUGGUUUGUGUCUAGAUGUCUCUCCCAAAGCCUCAUGCAGUCAUAGUUGGGCUUCUUCAGAGGUGGCUGGAUCUGGAGUGUGUGAUUGAUUCAUGAUGCAAUGCUAGGAUUAAGGAUGCUCUGAUUAAGUGUAGGUUAUUACUAAAUCAGCCCGAUGAUUGGUUUGGCACUGCCCUAAUGCUGGUAGCCUGGAUACAAUAUAAGGGACAGAAAGAGGCUUGUCUUGUCUGCCUUGCUUGCUUGCUUUGCUACCUUUUGCCUGCUAUGAACUCUUUUUCCUUUGCGAUGCCUGUGUGCCAUGCCACUUUGUAUCCGCUAUGCCUUAGAGCCAGCUGAUUAUGGACUGAAAACUCUACAAACUGUGAGCUAAAUAAACCUUU